rnacentral:rRNA from 1 species
UACGUAGGGGGCAAGCGUUGUCCGGAAUUAUUGGGCGUAAAGGGCGCGUAGGCGGUUUCUUAAGUCUGAUGUGAAAGCCCACAGCUUAACUGUGGAGGGUCAUUGGAAACUGGGGAACUUGAGUGCAGAAGAGGAGAGUGGAAUUCCACGUGUAGCGGUGAAAUGCGUAGAUAUGUGGAGGAACACCAGUGGCGAAGGCGACUCUCUGGUCUGUAACUGACGCUGAGGCGCGAAAGCGUGGGGAGCAAACAGGAUUAGAAACCCCCGUAGUCC